UUUCCGUAGGGGGGACCUGCGGAAGGAUCAUUAUUGAAUAAGUUUGGUGUAGACUGUUGCUGGUUCUUUGGAGCAUGUGCACGUCUAUUCCGACUUCAUUAACCCUCUCACCUGUGCACUAUAAUGUAGAUCUGAACUGUGUUCGAGUGCAAGCUCGGUCUGAAGAAUUGCUGUUGCUAUACAAUAAUGACAGCUUUUCUCUGCAUUUCAGAUCUAUGUUUUACACAUACUCCAUAUAAAAUAAUUUGAAUGUACAUGAUGGGCAUUUACAAUGCCUUUAUAUAUAAUACAACUUUCAACAACGGAUCUCUUGGCUCUCGCAUCGAUGAAGAACGCAGCGAAAUGCGAUAAGUAAUGUGAAUUGCAGAAUUCAGUGAAUCAUCGAAUCUUUGAACGCACCUUGCGCUCCUUGGUAUUCCGAGGAGCAUGCCUGUUUGAGUGUCAUGAAAUUCUCAACCUUUCAAGCUUUUUAUUAAAAGCUAGUCAGGCUUGGAUUAUGGGAGCUUGCUGGCUUUGACAAGUCGGCUCUUCUAAAAUACAUUAGCAAGAUUUUAAUCACUGAAUCAUCCUUGAUAUGAUAAUUAUCUAUAUUAACGAUGACACAGUGGUUCUCGCUUCUAACUGUCUUUCAAAGACAAUUUAUUGAAACUAUUGACCUCAAAUCAGGUAGACAUCCUAUCC
rnacentral:rRNA from 1 species